GAUCUUUCACGAAUUGGAGGGGAAUCCCCUAUGAACAAGAUGAACAAAAGAGGGAAAACAAGAGGAACACUCAAGAACAAGUCCAAUCACACAUCCACUAGACAAUCAAACACAUAAGAUCCACAAGGUACAUGAACAACAAAGGGAAAUAAGAUACAUGGUAGAGUUCAUCCCAAAUCCUAUGAAGGAGAUGAGGGCUUGAUGAUCUAGAUAGAUCCUUCCCACAAAGGGGGUCUUCAUCCACUAGGGAUCUUCUCCAAUGGAGGCCUUGAACUCCAAUGGAGUGUCUCUCUCUCUCAAGAGGAAUCCCACAAGGGGAGGUACAUGAGCUAGGCUCUAGUGUUUAGAUCUAUCCUUAGCUAAGUCUAAAUGGAGGAGAUGAAGGAGUAUAUAUAGUCCUAGGCAAAGAGAGGGGUAAGUGGGGGCGAAAUGGUAAAACAAGGGCAAAGCCCGCAACAUCUCUCAGGGGGCCCCGUGUGCACGGGGUAAGUGGAGCCCGUGCGCACGGGGUAUCCAGGGACCGGACGCAAGGGCCCGUGCGCACGGGGUCCGUUAGGCCCGUGGACACGGGGGUCCCAUGGGCACGGUACACGACCGUGCGCACGGGGUCUUCAGGACCGCCAGCCUGGGAGGCCCGUGGGCAUGGGGUCAGAGGGGCCCGUGCGCACGGGGUCGCCUGGGAGUUGCUGCCUUCUUCUUGGCGCUUCCUUCUCCGCUUCCAGGCUUCCGUCUUGGAUGGUGUAGAUGUUCUCUUCCGCUUGGACUCCUCCGUGAUGAAUGUGUAGCUCCGCUCACACCUAAGUAUGCACACGAGAGAGGGGUCAAGUAGUAUACCAUCCUCGAAGGGUACAAGUGGACACGUGUAAAGGAGAUGGUUCACCUUUGUAUGCAUGAAGUAGAUGUGGCACGUGUCACUUGUCAAAUGGUCUCUUGACAUGGUGAUGUCCAUAGGAUGCUCCGCAUCAUCCCCUCCCCCUUGGGAAAGAUCCGACCUCGGAUCGAAAUCCAAAUCACCAUGGGAAAGAGAUGAUGUCGUCGUGUAGAAGUGGACGAUCACCAAGCAUUCGUCAUCUUGUAGUUCCAAAUGGGCACUCUCCGAUGUCGCACCGUCUUGUAAUUCCUUCAGAAGUAGCAAAGAUAACAAGCACUUGGAAAAACAAAUGUGGUUGUCGUAAGAGCAAAACCAAGCAUUCAAGAGGUGAUUCACCCAACAAGUGUUGUCAUCAAGCAUAGCAUAUGGUUUGACAAAGAAGUGUGUCAUGGCAUUUGAGCAUAUAAAUUGAGCACAAUCAAUUACAUCAUGGGAACAAGCAUGUAAAUGGGAGGUCAAGAUGCAAAUAUAUGUGAUAAGUGAACAAGCAUCAACCUCAAGGUCAUAGCAAGAAUGCAUAAAGUGCUCAACAAAUGGUCUAUGGUAUGCAUAUGAAUCGUUCACAACACCAAAUAUAGUGAAAUGUCUAAACACAUGGGGAAAGUGCAAGGCAAUCCAAGCAUAACGUGCAUAUGGUGUAGUGAAGAUAUCGUGGCACUCAACACAAUGGAAAGAGCAAUUGUUCAACAUGUGUGAGGCAAUCAAGUCAAGCAUGUGAUAAGCAAAGGGACAUGGCAUAUGUGAAGAACUAGAUGCAACACUCAAGGCAUAUAUGUCAUGAGGCAUAGCAAUGUGGUAAUGAGAAGUCGAAGCAAGAUCACUAGCAUGUGUGCAAAGUGUCGUGGAGCAAGAAACACAUGAAGUAUGAUCCACAAUAUGCAUGCUCAUGGUUUGGGUGAUCUUGAGAUAGAAGGAUAUCACCUCGAAAGCAUGUCCUUGUGCGUCCUUCACAAUGCCGAAGUGGUAGGAAAUAUGGUGUAGAAGCGAGUCGUGGUCGAAUGUAUGAGGCUCGCUCUCAAGAGCUCGAAUGGUCAACUCACGUGAAGUGGAAGUCGACACGAAGUCCAAGUAUCCUACACAUGCACACAACAAAACAAAGAGCGUAUGCGCAUGGUAGAUAAACACAUCAUCCAUCAUGAUGGUUCUCUUCUCUUGCACAUAACGAUUAGAAGCACAAGUGCAUGAAUAAUAUGAUGCAACAAUGGCGAUAUUCAAGGCACUAGGUAUAUGGUGCAAAGAGGUAAGACAAGCAUGCUUCACAAGGAAUAUGUCAACAUCUCCAAACAUAUGUAAGAAUGCUAUGGGGGCAAUCUUAAGAGCAAGACUAUAAGCAUUGUUGCACUCAAUACAUGGCAAAUCAUCUAGCAUGAGAGAGGCAACACAUGGAGAUAUAUGACACGAAGCAAUAUGAAUCAUGUGCAAAGCAUAUAGAUGGUUGUCAUCAACCGCGUGAGAUGAGCAAGUAUGACGCAAGAGACAAUGAUCAAGAUAUAGCAUGUGAGAGGCAUGAGCAUAUAUGUCAUCAACCCAAGAAAGCAAGUAAUAGUGGAACAUGGGUGAUGCAACAUAGCAAGCAAUCAUAGCAAUCAAGUCAAGUAAGCUAGUAGUGCGAAGAUGCAACAUACUAGAAGGAAUCAUGGCAAACAUGUCAUUGGUGCAAAUAGUGGGCAUGAAUAAUUCACAUGACAUAGCACAAGCAUGAAAGCAAGAUAUGAGGACAAUAGCAUGGGGCACAUGAUAAACAUGGCAAUAGCAACAAGGAUCUCUACCAAGCAUGCAAAUACACAUAGAAGUAGCAUAAUUAUGAAACAUGGGUAGAUGCAAGCAAGGGUCACAAUUGCAUGGCAAAGGCAUAGAAGCAAGCAUAGCAUGCAAAGUGAACACGGUAAAAUGAGCAUAAGGUGACAAGUGGUAAAUGGCCCAUAGUCGUGUGAGAGCCAAGUACAGGAGUUGCGCGUAGUCCUUGCGCGAAGGGAACGGUGGUAAGGAUAGUCCAUGGGAUCCCAAGUCAUCAUUGCUCUCUAGAGCUCGUUUGAAGUGGCAUAUGCAUAGUCACUAUGAAGAGAUUGUCAUCUAUGCCAGAAGUGCAAAUUGGGUUUAUUUUAAUGGCAUAUGCAUAGUCACUAUGAAGAGAUUGCAAAUAUGACAUAUGAUGGAUCUCAUGCAUAGCAUAUGACAAGUCAAGCGGAUUAUCAAACAUGGUGAGACCAAGAGAAUUAUCACAAGACAUCCUAUGUAACAUGGCAUCACAACUAAUAGACUCCUCAUGGCAAUAAUCAUACUCAUCAUAAAUGGGCAAAUCAUCACAUGGGAAAAUCAUACUAGCGUGAAUCAUGGUACUAAGUGGAUCAACAUCAUGCAAGCAAUCAAUCUCAAGAAUGUCCGCUAGUGGGACUAGAGCAUCACCUUCACCUUUGUUACCUUUGUCAUUCCACUCAAGUGGUGUAGGUGAGGUGGGAAAGACCAAAUGGUGGUCAUCUUCAUCUUGAUGGAACCAUGUGGGGGGUGCAUCAUAUUCCACCAUGGUCAUCGUCAUGUCCAAAGGGAGGACGAAGUCGUCGAGGAUCGGCGCGUCAUCAUAAAUGGGACCUAGCACCAAAUGAGAAGACACAAUAGAGGUAGAGGUCAAGUUGUUAGAAAUGCAAAUGGCCUCAUGAGACCUAUCAACUAUCUCACUCUCUCUAUGUGGUGGUGAAGGAAAUAUGGCCUAGAGGCAAUAAUAAAGUUAUUAUUUAUUUCCUCAUAUCAUGAUAAAUGUUUAUUAUUCAUGCUAGAAUUGUAUUAACCGGAAACAUGGUAAAUGUGUGAAUACAUAGACAAAACAAUAGUCACUAGUAUGCCUCUACUUGACUAGCUCAUUAAUCAAAGAUGGUUAUGUUUCCAAACCAUAGACAUGUGUUGUCAUUUGAUUAAUGGGAUCACAUCAUUAGGAGAAUGAUGUGAUUGAGAUGACCCAUUCCGUUAGCCUAGCACUUGCUCAUUUAGUAUACUGCUAUUGCUUUCUUCAUGACUUAUACAAAGUUCCUGCAACUAUGAGAUUGUGCAACUCCCGUAUACCGGAAGAACACUUUGUGUGCUACCAAACGUCACAACGUAACUGGGUGAUUAUAAAGGUGCUCUACAGGUGUUUCCGAAGGUACAUGUUGGGUUGGCAUAAUUCGAGAUUAGGUUUUGUCACUCCGAUUGUCGGAGAGGUAUCUCUGGGCCCUCUCGGUAAUACUCAUCACCUAAGCCUUGCAAGCAUGUAACUAAUGAGUUAGUUAUGAGAUGAUGUAUUACGGAACGAGUAAAGAGACUUGCCGGUAACGAGAUUGAACUAGGUAUAGGAUACCGACGAUCAAAUCCCGGGCAAGUAACAUACCGAUGACAAAGGGAACAAAGUAUGUUGUUAUGCGGUUUGACCGAUAAAGAUCUUCGUAGAAUAUGUAGGAACCAAUAUGGGCAUCCAGGUCCCGCUAUUGGUUAUUGACCGAGAAUGGUUCUAGGUCAUGUCUACAUAGUUCUCGAACCCGUAGGGUCCGCACGCUUAACGUUUCGAUGACAGUUUUAUUAAGAGUUUAUAAGUUUUGAUGUACCGAAGUUUGUUCGGAGUCCCGGAUAUGAUCACGGACAUGACGAGGAGUCUCGGAAUGGUUGAGACAUAAAGAUUGAUAUAUUGGAAGCCUAUAUUUGGAUAUCGGAAAGGUUCCGGGUGAAAUCGGCAUUUUACCGGAGUACCGGGAGGUUACCGGAACCCCCCGGGGGUUAAUGGGCCUACAUGGGCCAAGAGGGAGAAGAGGGAAGGAGCCAGGAGGGGGCCGCGUGCCCCUCCCCCUCCUAGUCCGAAUAGGACAAGGGAAGGGGGGGCGACGCCCCCCUUUCCUUCCCCUCUUCGUCCUCUUUCCCCCCUUCUCCUACUCCUACUUGGAAAAGGGGAGUCCUACUCCCGGUGGGAGUAGGACUCCCCCCCUUGGCGCGCCCUCUAGGCCGGCCGCCUCCUCCCCCCUGGCUCCUUUAUAUACGGGGGCGGGGGGCACCCCAAAGACACAAGUUGAUCUACGGAUCGUUCCUUAGCCGUGUGCGGUGCCCCCUUCCACCAUAUUCCACCUCGGUCAUAUCGUCGCGGAGUUUAGGCAAAGCCCUGCGCCGGUAGAACAUCAUCAUCGUCACCACGCCGUCAUGCUGACGGAACUCAUCUCCGGAGCUCGGUUGGAUCGGAGGCCGGAGAUCGUCAUCAAGCUGAACGUGUGCUGAACUCGGAGGCUCCGUACGUUCGGUGCUUGGAUCGGUCGGAUCGUGAAGACGUACGACUACAUCAACCGCGUUGUGCUAACGCUUCCGCUUAUGGUCUACGAGGGUACAUGGACGAAUACUCUCCCCUCUCGUUGCUAUGCCAUCACCAUGAUCUUGCGUGUGCAUAGGAAUUUUUUUAAAAUUACAACGUUCCCCAACAGUGGCAUCCGAGCCUAGGUUUUAUGCGUUGAUGUUAUAUGCACGAGUAGAACACAAGUGAGUUGUGGGCGAUACAAGUCAUACUGCUUACGACUACGGGAUUGGCCAACCACGCAGGAUGGAGCACUCCUCUGACAAGGCCUACUGCUUCCAACUUCUUGAUCUCUUCUGCAAUGAAUUCUUGGCGCUCCACUGCUUGUUUCCUUACUUUCUGCUUGACGGGCCGUGCGUGAGGACAGACGGCAAGAUGGUGCUCAAUUACUUCCCUGGGAACACCGGGGAUGUCAUACGGUUGCACAAAAAUUUGAUGCAAAAUGUUAGCAAGAGUCAAUAAUGUUGAAAAAGAUUCACAAAUUCGCAAGUGAAACAAGUAGACCAAUAGCAAAUGGUACACGGAAACACACACACACGGAUAGAUAAAUGGGGUCGUGCAACCAAGGAAUGAGCACAAAAUGUGGAGUCCACGGAAAACGCUCGUGUUGCACAACUCAAGAGAGACGCUAGCACGAUUGCUCAAUAGGCGGAUACGACACUUGUGCACAACCUAUAAGAUGCAAAAUGGAUAAACUUCUUUCCCAAGUAAGCUAUGUAUGUAUGGUUCCCGGUGUUUCUCUCAAGCAUGAUACCAUAUGAUGUAGAUUUUGGUAUGGCUCUUUUUGUGCAAUGGGGUAUGAUGCUAUGGCACUUGCUCACGAGCUCUUUGCUCUCUUUUUGCUUAAAAGUUUUUUCUCUUUUUUUUCAAUGGCCACUUUUGCACAAUGCACAAACCAAGAUAGUUAUUGUGUAUAUGCGGGAACGAUAUUGUGACACAAAGGAUGAUAUGAUACCAAUAUGAUAUGGGAUGUAUGCAAUGGAAUGGUGGAUCACUAAUGUGCACAAGUAACGUUGCCGGCAAUACUCAAAUGGCUAGUCUCGAUAGGCAAGUAACGCAAAAUGGGCUAGGGGUUAACAAUACAAUUGCAAGGGUAAUAUACAAUGGUGUCGUCGAGGUUACCGUCCUUUGCGAUGAUGAGUGGCGGUGUUCUUGAUGUAGAUACCAAGAUGAUGUAGACCCGUCCCUAAGUAGCCAAAACACCUUAGGAAACGGUAAAAACCGCAAACUCAAAAUCUCAAAUGACAAAUGUCAAAUGGUGGAAGUGGGAAUGGCAAUGUGGAAGUGGUGGUGGUUUGUGAAGAAGCAAAUGUCCCUAAGUAGCCGAAACACCUUAGGAGACUCACGUCGCCACUCAAACAACCACAAAUGCUAAGGGGAUCAAGAUGGGUUAGGUUGCGAAAGUCUAUGGUUGUUUUGCGGAUGAUAUGGUGGAGGGCCUAGGCAAAGAUGCCAAAAUGUCAAAAUUUUGAUGGAGUGGGGGAUGUCAAUAGCUACUCAAUGAGCUAAAGAACGCGAAAAUCGUACUCCGGAUGUGGAAGUUACGGGCAAAACAGUGAACUGCUCGCUGCUGGCCUGGGGGGGCCAUGCGCACGGGGUCCCAUGCGCACGGUACACGUAUCGAGGACACGGGGUCACCAGAGACUUCGCGGGGGCCCGUGGGCACGGGGUGGGGAGCCCGUGGGCACGGGGUAGGCGGAAAUUUUGCGAUUUUCUUGUCAAAUUCGAAGGGGAAAGAAAAAUUGGGGUAUGGGGACACAAGAGGGGGUAGAUCUACUUGCAAUACAUCAAAUCCAUGGAUCAAAUCCAACAAAAUCAAUCUAAACCAACAAAUCACAAAAACAUUUGGGGCUAUUUUUGGUGGGGAAUUUUCGGAUUUAGGACGAAAUCACACAAAACAACGCUAGAAAACACGGGGCAAGGGCUCCAAAAACAUGAUCAACGUGGCUCAUGAUACCAUAUGAUGUUGGGUAGAACCCUAGGUGAGAGAUCUUUCACGAAUUGGAGGGGAAUCCCCUAUGAACAAGAUGAACAAAAGAGGGAAAACAAGAGGAACACUCAAGAACAAGUCCAAUCACACAUCCACUAGACAAUCAAACACAUAAGAUCCACAAGGUACAUGAACAACAAAGGGAAAUAAGAUACAUGGUAGAGUUCAACCCAAAUCCUAUGAAGGAGAUGAGGGCUUGAUGAUCUAGAUAGAUCCUUC
rnacentral:lncRNA from 1 species